rnacentral:ncRNA from 1 species
GGGUGUUCGCGCUGCAUGUCGCAGCGAAACAGGUUCUUGCGCUGGUCGGGCCGCCGCG